GGCUAGGUAGCUCAGCUGGUAGAGCACUGGUGUUAAUGCCAGAGGUCACAGGUUCAAAUCCUGUCCUAGUCU